CUAAAGGACAGAGCAGUUUAUAGGUUGACUGUUUCCAAUGUUGUGUUGGUCAUUCUAUAGAAUGAUUUAUUGCUUGUUUAGCGAAUACUCCAGAACAUAAGGUACUUUAAAAAUAAAAAUCGCAUACAAAAUUGCAAUCUCAAUAUUGAUCGAAAUAUCGCAAUAAGAUUGUUUCCCCAAAUCGUUCAGCCCUAAGUGACACUCAGGAAGUUCUGUGGUAGUAAAACACAAUGUGAACAUGUCAUGUUUCAGAAGUGGAAUAUACCGUUUAAAAUGUUUGUAAAAUGUUUCCUUCAUUGGAGCUGUGGAGGUUUUCCUUCUUUUGCUUUGGGCAAUGUCUGUGGAUCAAAAAAACAAAAAGAGCAAGAACAAAACAAAUGUCAUGUUUGUUCCAGGUCCGAACAUUAUGUUGUCGAGCAUAACCACAGACUAGUUCACCUUUCUUACCCGUCCGACAUUCAGUACAAGCGCCACCAGGUAACGGACGGUCACUUUGAUCCCGGCAUGGAAGGUUAAGGGGUUAAAGGGUGAGCUACGCACUGGACCCCCACGUGAACUAAGUCUUUUAGAUGUUAGCACAAGAGAGAACAACCGUUAUAGAAAGCAAUCCGUAGGAUGACUAUUUAUCAGUCGUUAUCUUUUUUCAUUCACAAACGUGAUCUAGUGCGUAGCUACUCUUUGAUCGGGCUAAAGAAAACCUCGGGGGGGGGAAAACGCUUUUAUUUGCACGAAGGAACUUGAUCUUCUUGGGACGAGGAAACGCACUGCUGCCGGUUUCUAGAUUUCUUUCUACUAACCUACUAACUUUUUUCCCUGGCUGUCUCGCUCGGUAAAAAGACGAAAGAUCACACGUUGUUGGUUUGAAACUGUUUCUUCUGCGUUUGCCUACCCUCCACAGACACAAGACAACGACCUUUGAGCAGACCACUGUACAGAUGGCAACGACAAGUGAACCAUACGAAGAAUUGACAGAAGGGGCACAAGAUCUAAAGCGCACCUCGAUGUGAUACACGCAAAGUAAUCUUAUUUAAGAAAAUUGGAAAACUCAUAUGCUUGUAUAUAUUUAAAAAAAUACUAUUUUAGAUGUCAUUUUUCAAAACUUGAACAAGUACAUUUAAUCACACAAACCUUAUUCUAAUUUAAACUUUUACAAUGGAUGAUGUGAACGAUGUAUAUUUGAAUGUAGAAGUUGUUUCAAGUAAAGCAACCCCUUAAAAAAAAACAUGGGUGUUGUGUGCCUGAGUUUCUCAAUCCGUCCCACCACUUAACUGAACUAUAUCAACAGCUGAAAACUAGCCAUGAAACGUCCAUUCAUUCAGUUCAAUACUUCUAUAUUCCCCCUCCCUCUCCGAAUGGAGAAGGAAUUGAAGAGAUGAGAUGAGGAAUUAUUUUAGCGUUUGGUAAUAAAGUCAUUGUGUGAAUAUAUCCUCAAAUAUAAAAUCGGAGCAUGUAAUGUAUGUGUCUUGGUGGUGAAGUAGUGAGACCUGAAGAUUCAAGGACAGGAGACAAGGG
ensembl:lncRNA